CGGGCCUAACACAUGCAAGUCGAACGGGCUGUCCUUCGGGGCAGUCAGUGGCGCGACGGGUGCGUAACACGUAGGUAAUACAACCCUCGGGUUCGGGAUAACACUGCGAAAGAGGUGCUAAUACCGGAUGCAACGGUCAGUUCUUCGGAGCUGGUCGGGAAAGAUCCGCAAGGAUUGCCCGAGGACGAGCCUGCGGCCCAUCAGCUUGUUGGUGAGGUAAAAGCUCACCAAGGCUAAGACGGGUAGCUGGUCUGAGAGGAUGAUCAGCCACACUGGAACUGAGACACAGUCCAGACUCCUACGGGAGGCAGCAGGUGGGGAAUAUUGCGCAAUGGACGAAAGUCUGACGCAGCCACGCCGCGUGAGCGAUGAAGGCCCUCGGGUCGUAAAGCUCUGUGGGGAGAGAAGAAUAAAGCCGGUGAAGAGCCGGCCCUGACGGUAUCUCCUUAGCAAGCACCGGCUAACUCCGUG
rnacentral:rRNA from 1 species